rnacentral:misc_RNA from 1 species
AAGUCGUAACAAGGUUUCCGUAGGUGAACCUGCGGAAGGAUCAUGUAAACGUUCUUUUGAAAGGAAGGGUGCCGGAUGUGUGGCACUUUAGUGGGCUGCACAGACGCCCCUUCCUCCAAACCCAUCGCGAACUGGAAUUCGUAGCAGACAAGAGGGGGACAGAGGAUGGAGGGUGAUGGUUGGGUGCGAGAGUUCGAGGCUCGAACUCUCGCGCCUGCCGCCACGUUCCGCUUCUUUUCCUUUCUUCUGCGCACAUUUUUUUCUCAAAACCACUUUUUUCACAAAUUUCAACGUAACGAACAUGUGUUGGAAUGCAAAAAAAAGGGAAUUUUUUCUCUUUUUUUUUCUCCGACCGCAUAUCAAUUUAUCAACUGCAAAAGAGAUAAAGAACAACUCUUAGCAACGGAUAUCUUGGUUCCC